rnacentral:rRNA from 1 species
AUGCUAUAAUGCAGUCGAGCGACAGAUAGGAGCUUGCUCCUUUGACGUUAGCGGCGGACGGGUGAGUAACACGUGGGCAACCUACCCUAUAGUUUGGGAUAACUCCGGGAAACCGGGGCUAAUACCGAAUAAUCUCUUUUGCUUCAUGGUGAAAGACUGAAAGACGGUUUCGGCUGUCGCUAUAGGAUGGGCCCGCGGCGCAUUAGCUAGUUGGUGAGGUAACGGCUCACCAAGGCGACGAUGCGUAGCCGACCUGAGAGGGUGAUCGGCCACACUGGGACUGAGACACGGCCCAGACUCCUACGGGAGGCAGCAGUAGGGAAUCUUCCACAAUGGGCGAAAGCCUGAUGGAGCAACGCCGCGUGAGUGAAGAAGGUUUUCGGAUCGUAAAACUCUGUUGUAAGGGAAGAACAAGUACAGUAGUAACUGGCUGUACCUUGACGGUACCUUAUUAGAAAGCCACGGCUAACUACGUGCCAGCAGCCGCGGUUAUACGUAAGUGGCAAGCGUUGUCCGGAAUUAUUGGGCGUAAAGCGCGCGCAGGCGGUCUUUUAAGUCUGAUGUGAAAGCCCACGGCUCAACCGUGCAGGGUCAUUGGGAAACUGGGGGACUUGGGUGCAGAAGAGGGAGGGAAUCCCAAGUGUAGCGGUGAAUGCGUACAGAUUGGAAGAAC